UCUAAUAAAUGAUUAACGCGGCCCUACCAAUAUGGGUAUAUUAAUACUUAAAUCUGGGUAUUUUAAAUUUCGAAUGCGCAUUUUUAAAAAACCGAACUUAUCUAUAGAUCUCUUAUAUCUAGAAUAAUCUAGAUCUACAACACCCAGACUUAGACUAUGGUUCUAGAUCUAUUUAAAAGAUAUUUUUUAAAAAAUAACUCAACAGAUCUAAUAAAGUCAUGAUUUCCACUCUAUUUUCUCUAGAUCUAGACUAUACAUGAGAUCUAAAUCUAGACUUCACUUUCACAUCACAUGAUUAUUGAUACAGACAGUGAAUGAAACGAAUGCAGUGAUUAUAUUAUAGUUUAUACUGACUUAUAGCUCUACCAGUUGAUUAUCAUCAUCAUCAUCUGAGGUCAUCUCGAAUAAUAAUCUAGACUAUUAUUAACAAGUAGAACCAUGCCAACCAGUUCUGAUGAUGUACCAGAAUGGCUCAAGGAUCAUACUUAUACUAUUUCUACUCUCUGGGCAGACAUUAAUAAUAUUGGCAUCCAUUCAAUAUUUAUUUUAUGUUUGGAAAUGCAAGAAAAAGGCAUGCAUUCCUGACAAGUCAAUGAUUGGUUGCACCUCUUAAAGAUAACUUUCUGUUAUGAGAAAAGAUGAGAUUCUUGGACUCCUGCAUAGCACCACCAGAAAGGAAAAUCCCAUCAUGUUGCAAAAUAAAAGUCUUGGACCAAUUUUAAUUUAAGAUAUAUAUAUUAUACUGUAAGCUCUAUACAUAUUUAUGUAUAUCCUGUCAUUCAGCCAACAGGUUUGGAUUUAGUAUUUCUUUAAAUCUGUUUGAUAUUGUACUUGAAAACUAUUAAUCUGAGCCCCAUUAAAACAAUAGGGAGUGCAGUGAAUGAGUGGUAAAGCACUUGGCUUCUGAACUGAGGGUUCCUGGGUUCAAUUAAGACUGGGAUUUUCAAUUUCAGAAUUCAUAAGGCUAGGGAUACAUGGCAAUAGUAAGGAAUAAGUAAAGGCAGUUUGGGGAUCCAUGGCUGAAUGGUUAAGUCAUGGGUUUGAAUCUCUGUGAAGACUCGGGUUAAAAUUUUUUUAGAUUUUUGGGUGCCCCUGAGUCCACCUAACUCUAAUGGGUAGCUGACUUUUGUUUUGGAAAGUAAAGAUGGUUGGUUGUUGUGCUGGCCACAUGAUGCACUGGCCAAAGAAUCAAAUGACCUUAACAUCAUCUGCCCUAUAGAUUGUGACGUCUGAAAUGGGAUUUUUUUUCAAAAGGUGGUUGGUUGUUGUGCUGGGUACAUGACACCCUCGCUAACCAUGGGGCACAGAAACUGAUAAACUUUAUAUCAUCUGCCCCAUAGAUUGCAAGAUAUGUAAGGGAAAUUUUACUUUUUUAAAAUUAAAAUAAGAAUCUAUCAAAAGUAAACAUAAAAUAUGGUGCAUUCUCCUUAAAACUAAAACCUGGUGCGAAGGUUUAAAAUGUUGGCAAAAAAAAGCAACAUCAUAUAUUCUUAAUUCCCUUUGCAAAACUUACUGAGAAGAACAUGCAUGUUGUUCCCUCAUAAUUUUCUUGACAGAGGAAAUCUUGUUUAUAUUAGAUUUGAAUUAAGCAAAUUAAGACAAAAAUUAUAAUCAUUAUUUCAAAUGGUUGUAUCUAAACCUUGUGAAUUAUUUUUCUGUUAUAAGUAUAUUGAGAUUAAUGGAUAAUCAUGAAAUUGUAAAAUAAUUGCUGCUAUCAUUCCAUUGACUAAAGAACCAUAAUUUUUUUUUUUUUAAAUUAAUUUCAAAAUGAUUUUUUUCAAGCAUAGAGUUCACAUAGAUCUUGAGUGAAUUUUUUUUUUUUAUUUGACUAAUGCUUCAAUUUUAUUGUAUCAUAUUAGUUUUUAAUUUUUAUUACCCAGAAUAUUUAAAAAAUGAGUACACUAUUUUCAUGUAAUAAUGUAACUUGGUAUUCACAGAAUGCUCAAAAUACACCAUAAUCUUUAGGCCAUACAGAUUUGUAUAAAUUAACUUGUUUAAAUACAUUGUAAAUGUAUACUGUUUGGAUAAGAAUAAAGUUUUUCUGUAGACAA